AUUGAACGCUGGCGGCAGGCUUAACACAUGCAAGUCGAGCGGGGUGAUGGUGCUUGCACUAUCACUUAGCGGCGGACGGGUGAGUAAUGCUUAGGAAUCUGCCUAUUAGUGGGGGACAACAUCUCGAAAGGGAUGCUAAUACCGCAUACGUCCUACGGGAGAAAGCAGGGGAUCACUUGUGACCUUGCGCUAAUAGAUGAGCCUAAGUCGGAUUAGCUAGUUGGUGGGGUAAAGGCCUACCAAGGCGACGAUCUGUAGCGGGUCUGAGAGGAUGAUCCGGCACACUGGGACUGAGACACGGCCCAGACUCCGACGGGAGGCAGCAGUGGGGAAUAUUGGACAAUGGGGGGAACCCUGAUCCAGCCAUGCCGCGUGUGUGAAGAAGGCCUUAUGGUUGUAAAGCACUUUAAGCGAGGAGGAGGCUGCUUUGGUUAAUACCCAAGAUGAGUGGACGUUACUCGCAGAAUAAGCACCGGCUAACUACGUGCCAGCCGCCGCAGUAA
rnacentral:rRNA from 1 species